rnacentral:rRNA from 1 species
AUUGAACGCUGGCGGCAUGCCUUACACAUGCAAGUCGAAUGGUAACAGGUCUUCGGACGCUGACGAGUGGCGAACGGGUGAGUAAUACAUCGGAACGUGCCCAGUCGUGGGGGAUAACUACUCGAAAGAGUAGCUAAUACCGCAUACGACCUGAGGGUGAAAGCGGGGGAUCUUCGGACCUCGCGCGAUUGGAGCGGCCGAUAUCAGAUUAGGUAGUUGGUGGGGUAAAGGCCUACCAAGCCGACGAUCUGUAGCUGGUCUGAGAGGACGACCAGCCACACUGGGACUGAGACACGGCCCAG